UCAACUGCGCAAAGCAGCCCUUCCAAGAUCCCAUUGUCUUCUUCCCUUUGCUCUGCUCGUACCUGUACACCGGCGAUUUGCAAGCUAGGGUUAGCAAUUUGCUCUGUCGCCUCUCUCCCCUCCGUCCCCUUCUCUGCUGGGCCACUCGACCUCUCCCCCCUGGUCAUGUACCUAGUUUCAGCGUCGUACAAGCGCCAGCGCCGCUCCUCUCCCCUGAAACGGCCGAACCGCCGGCGAGCGCAUACAUGUAUCGCCGCCAUGCUGUAGGUCCAGGCAAUGUCGACCCAGCCAUCGCAAAGAAGACAGCCAUCUUCUGCAGCUUAAGGUAUCAAGGUAUUGUCGGCAUGUUCAGUUGCAAGCUCAUCUCUAGCGAAAACAAAAAGUUCGCUGUGCAGACUAAUGUUGUAGUUGUAUCCACUUUGUCUCUUUCAGCCAACAAAGAUAUCUCUGUUAGAUGACGAUGGGAGCUGCAUGGUGCUCAACCUAUUGCUCAAGUCAGGAUAUGUUGGCAUCUGAAACGAAGUGUAUCUAUUGUAAUAAAGUGACUGCUAAUAGAGCACAGCAGGCCUUCUUUUCAAGAGUUGUGUACAACAAAGCUAUCCUUGUGAAAUAUGUUACAUCAUAUAUAUGUACACAAUGUUUGAAUCCGACAUUGCAUAUGACAGCGGGCCUUCUUUGAUGCA